rnacentral:rRNA from 1 species
GAUCCUGGCUCAGGAUGAACGCUAGCUACAGGCUUAACACAUGCAAGUCGAGGGGCGAGCAUUUUAGUUUGCUUGCAAACUAAAGAUGGCGACCGGCGCACGGGUGAGUAACACGUAUCCAACCUGCCGAUAACUCAGGGAUAGCCUUUCGAAAGAAAGAUUAAAUACCUGAUGGCAUAGGAUUAUCGCAUGAUAAUCCUAUUAAAGAAUUUCGGUUAUCGAUGGGGAUGCGUUCCAUUAGG